CUGUGGGUGGGGGAGGGCUGGGCCCAGCUGCUGGUGGACACACAGACCCUCUUAAAGAAGAGCCUCCCUCUGGGUGGUUCUGCUGGCAUGAAUUUUCCUGAAACCGUGACCACUUCCGGUUCCUGGGAGGCUGUUGGGGAGAGAGUUGCCACCAGGGAGAAAAAGGGAGUUUCAGAAGGAAAGCCCCCAAACCCAGAGAGAGGCAAGGGGGAGGGGAACUGGCUUGGUGGCCUCCACUUCCUGCAGCGGUGGCUGGGGAUGCCUGCAGGGCUGUGGACACCCAGAGGGCGGCCAGGCCUGAGCCCUGAGUCAGGAUCUGGGGCAGCUCAGGGACUGGGGGUGUUUAACAUGGUCACUGGCCUGGGCCUAGACAAACCUAGAUUUAAAAAAAAGAUCUCAUUUCAUGAUUUUUCACCCAUAAUUACUUUGGUCUCCUUUCUUCUCCAUAGACCUGAAACAAUGGCAGCAGAGAAAGGGUGGUGACACUUGUUGCCUUUCUCCACCCAGCACUGGGGCAGGGCUGGGGUCAAGGGGAGGCCUGUGGCCCCUUCCAUCUCAUUUGCAUACAAUGAGCCCAUAAAUCAAUCCCCACCUUCUCCUUCCUGCCUGCCUGGCUCUGCCCCUCCCCUGGCCUGAGCUCACCAGGAAGAGCUUGGGGUGAGGCCUGGGAGCCUCGACUUGGCCUGCCUGGAGGUGACCCUGGUCCUGUCAGCAUCUCACUUGUCCUGCUCGGGGCAACCUGUUUCCUCACACGAGUGAGUCACAUUGCUUUCCAGUUGGCACCAGGAAGUGGAGACCAUGGCAUGAGCUGCUGGGAGGACAGAGAAGAGGGCUCCGGGGAGAUGCUCCCACAGAGACUCUGGAGCAGACCCUGCAGAAGCUGAUGGGCCCAAUGGGGGUCUGCAGGCUCAAGAACGAGAUACGCCCUUUC
rnacentral:lncRNA from 1 species